rnacentral:lncRNA from 1 species
AUGCUUUUUUCCUUACCAUUUAAGCAUUUGUUUACCUUUUGAUCUUUUCUCUUCUAGGAUUGAGAAUACUUGCCACCAGUUAAAGGAACUCUGCUCAAAUAGGAUCUCUGUGCCUGAUCAUGAUUCCAAAUUCCCAGAUGCUUUAGAAGGCAGACAAUCUGAGGAAAAUAUUCUUCCUGGGUCCUUCGGAUGGGAAAAAAAAAUUAACAUCAAUUAAAACAAAAUACUUUAUUUUCUCCAUUUCUCUCAUUUGCAUUUAGGGUCAUUCUCUUUACUUAUAUUUUGAAGUUAUAUGGAUCAAAGUGUCUCACAAAUGAACUGAAAUUAAUAAUGAAAUCUAAGAAAAAUACUCAAAGACUAUCUACAACUAAUAACCGCA